rnacentral:rRNA from 1 species
AUUGAACGCUGGCGGCAGGCCUAACACAUGCAAGUCGAACGAGUGGCGGACGGGUGAGUAAUGUAUGGGGACCUGCCCGAUGGAGGGGGAUACCUACUGGAAACGGUGGCUAAUACCGCAUACCAUCGGAUGUUCCCAGAUUGGAUUAGCUAGUAGGUGGGGUAACGGCUCACCUAGGCGACGAUCCCUAGCUGGUCUGAGAGGGUGACCAGCCACACUGGGACUGAGACACGGUCCAGACUCCUACGGGAGGCAGCAGUGGGGAAUAUUGCGCAAUGGGCGAAAGCCUGAUGCAGCCACGCCGCGUGUAUGAAGAAGGCCUUCGGGUUGUAAAGUACUUUCAGCGGGGAGGCGUUACCCGCAGAAGAAGCACCGGCUAACUCCGUGCCAGCAGCCGCGGUAAUUC